GGUGACUCAGUGGUAGAGUGCUUGCCUUGCAUGCAUGAGGACCUGGGUUCGAUUCCUCAGCACCA
rnacentral:tRNA from 1 species